CACAUUCCCAGAUUUCCCAGCCCAGCCCUGCAGCGAGGACACUACGCAGAUAGCAAGAGAGAAAGCGUAGCUCGCUGGAUUUUAUCCACUUUAUGUCCUAAAAAACAUUUGUACAGACAUUUCUCAGUCCGAGUGACGUCACCGCUUCCGCGUCCAAUCAGAUAUCACGAGAAAACAACAAAAGGUCACACUGAACAGCAGAUUGUUGUCUCAAGCCAGUGCUGAUCAAUGACAGUUUAGCUGCAGUCUGUCAGAGAAGAGAGGAAAGAUGAGUCUCUCACAGAAACAGAGUGUAAGAUCAGGAUCACAUGUGUCUGUGAAGAGUGACCAGUCAAAGGAUGAUAACAUGCCGAACUUCAGUGAGAAAAAAACAUCUAUCAAAAGUGUAAGAUCAGACUCACAUGUGUCCAGCUCUGUGUCUGUGAAGAGUGAC